GCACUUUCUCCCCGUUUCCCCUCAGGAAAAGACGCACCAGCAGCCUAGAAUUCGAGGCACUGCAGAGCCGGAAGGGGCCUCGGCGCUGCUCCCUCCGCCCCCUCAUUUCACAAACCGGAAACUGAGACCCAAAGCAAGGAAGGGACUUGGCCAAGGUCAGAGCUCACCUGGGACCACACGAAGAUGAUAACUUGCUAGGAGUUUUGCAAAUGGGUUUGUCUACAGUUUGGUAGAAUUAAAACAUUGUUUUUAGUUCAGAUUUGCAACAGUGGCCGGCUCCCUCUAAUCCACAGUGGUGGAGCACUGUGAUUGACAUUCAGCUGCAAAGCUCUUGCUGGGAAACGCGGUGGCCGAGCCGUCAGCACAGGCGGCAGCUGCCUCCCACACUUAAGACAGGACUUCUAAAGCCACAGUCCCUCAAACGGCAGGCAGGUUUGUGAAUGUUUCCGUGUUCUGAACAUUUUUCUGCAAAAGGGUUCACAGCUUUAAUUGAUUUACAAAGAGACGUACACCAUGGAAGAGAUUGAGAAUCAUUUCCUUAAAGCAACAAGAAUCUAGGCUGGGGAGAAAUCAGAUUUUAGGAACGAGCUGCUAGGCACCGUAGCAGCAUUCAGAGACAUGAAAGCAUUGGAUUGUUUCCUAGAUUUAAGAGCAUAUAUUUUGCAACAUGAAAGGGCUUCUAUGCUCUAGAAUGUAAGUUCCUCAAGGAUAGGGGUCUAGUCUAUCUCUUCACCUAAGGUAUCCUUAGAUCCUGGAUCAGUGCCUGCGCGUAAUCACAGGUGCGAACACACAUGUGAUUAAUUUGUUAGUCUGCACAGCACUUCCCUUUCCAUGCCCACUCCUGCCUGGUCUCCAGCAGUCGUCAGAAUUGCCAUCGUUAAGGAAACCCUGAUGCAAGAAUUGCAAGAAUGACUCUGUUUGUUUGUUUGUUUGUUUGUUUGUUUAUUAAGACGGAGUCUCGCUCUGUCGCCCAGGCUGGAAUGCAGUGGCGCGAUCUCGGCUCACUGCAAACUCCACCUACCGGGUUCACGCCAUUCUCCUGCCUCAGCCUCCCGAGUAGCUGGGACUACAGGCGCCCGCCUGCGCGCCCGGCUAAUUUUUUGUAUUUUUAGUAGAGACGGGGUUUCACCGUGUUAGCCAGGAUGGUCUCGAUCUCCUGACCUCGUGAUCUGCCCGCCUCGGCCUCCCAAAGUGCUGGGGUUACAGGCGUGAGCCACCGCGCCCGGCCAAGAAUGACUUUGUAAAUCAGUGUUGACAUUCAGGACCUUUUUCAUUUCGUGUUAAAGACUGAUCACCCUGGGAAAAUCAAGGCAGUCCAGCCAAACCCCAACUCCCAAUCAAAUGCAGUUUGUAUCGAACCCCACGACUGCCCAGCACCUUUGGGAAGCCCAUUGCUUUCUAUGCAGACGCAGAGCUCCCAGAAAGCACAGUUGAAGAGAUGAAGGCGCAGAGGCAUGAACUCCCGUAGCCAGAGAGUGUGAGCUGGACUCUACCUGGAGCAGCCUCGGUGCAGAGCCCAUGCCCCCAACCAUGUCCGUGGUCGAGGCCCAGCCCAGACAGGGCACAAAGGGGCUGAGGAAGAGGAAGUAAGAUGCCAGGGUUGCCAUGCAGGAGGGCAACCCCAAGUGAGAUGGGCAUCGUGGCCUAGGGCCCACCUUCCGGAAGAGCUCAUCAGAACUUCGGACACACUGCAUGGGCCUAGACCCAGGGCUCGUUGAGCUCCUCCCUCGGAUUGGCUUCGAAUUUUAGGUGAAUCCUCUCUAGCAGCCACAUUCACCCUUGCAAGCCUGCACUUUGUCAUCUUCUGAAAAGGUGCAGGAACAUGAUGCCCAGCUGACUCCCAGGGAGCGGGAGCCCCAGAGGCCAGCGGAGCACAGCCGCAGCAGGCAGAUCUGUUGGGAAACCACGGGAGUAUAGGAGCAGGGCUGGGGGCACCUGAGGGACUGUGGAGCCUGAAUUAUUGAAACGCUUAGAGUAAAGCAGAUUUAGAUUUCACAAAGACAGAGGUGAAGGUGGGUGAAGACGGAGGGAAGGAUUUAAAGGGAAAGAGAAAGAGGAAAGAUAAGAAUGAGGGAGAAAGAGGAAGAGAGAAAGAAAAAGAGAAAUAGAGUUAUCGAAGAUGACUGCAAGUCUGGCCUCUCUCAACCCAAGGAGCCAAGGAGGGGAAGGCCGGCCUGAGCAGCAACGUAGACAAGAGCUCAGGAGGGCAGGGACAGAGCCCUGGCUUCAGCAAGAGCGUGGGGAACAGAGGGCAAGGGGGUCCAUGCAGCCCAGGAUGGCAGGGUGCUCAUACACACAGCCUUGGUCCUGUCCCCUCUCCCAUUGCCGCUUUUGAGCUCACCUUGUUUAAGGCCAAAGCACACACCAUCCUCCCACAGAGCCACUAAUGCAAUUAACAAAACACAUUCAUAAAUCUUGCAUGGCGUCCGGAGCUGUCUCCUCUCCCUAAGCACAAAGGCCAGCUCCAGAGAUGCUGUGCAGAGAGCUGUCUGACCUCUCCAGCGUCAGGGCCCCCUGAAAAGUGCAGCAUAACCCUUAGUAGGACAGAAAGACCAUUGUCUUCUGCCAACCAUUACAAAGUGGAGUGGGGCUGGGGUUAGGAAACACAGACAAAUCAGAAGAGGCUGAGAAGGCGGAGAUGAAAGUGCAUAGGUGUUUGCAGGGAGCUGGGGAAUAGUUCGUGCCUUCCAAGCUCAACAAGAGAGCAUUCAGCAGAGACCAGAGAAUCACCACUUUUGGAGGGUGAUUUUACCUUGUGAGAACAGAGCACAGGGUGUGUGGGACCCAGGGCAUCUUCGGCAAUGCGGGCGUGACUUGGCGGGAUGUCGGUGUUUGUGUUUGCAUGUGUGUGUGCGUGCGUGCAUGCUCAGUCUGGAAAACUGGUGACUCACUAAAACACCGAGCUUUCUGAUCUGAA
rnacentral:lncRNA from 1 species